CCCUAUUACCUCCAUUAUCUCAGCACUCAUUGGGCAACAGUGUUGGUCCUUGACGUCGGCCGAGCAGCUAGUUGGCUGGCGAACAUCAAGCCACCACUGCCACCGUGCGGACAAUCACAGCAAAUCAAGACCACAAGCGAACACAAAACCUUAACGCCAGCCGAACAUUUUUUUUUCGCAGUCUCCAGGGGGAGAUUCCAAGUGUGGUUUCUUGCGUUUGCAGAUUUUUGUUUGCUUUAUAUUAACAGUAAACUUUGUGAUGAAGGAGGCUAAAGAAAGGAAAGGGACAGAACAACGCCAAGAUGCCUAGGAAAUUAACCCUGGUUAGUAAUGUUAUACAGAUCAUAGUGGCAUCAGUGGAUUGUACUUGGCCCCCCAAAUUAAUUGCAGUGACAUGAAUGCACUGGGCAAAACUAUAUCACAUUUACAGCA